rnacentral:lncRNA from 1 species
UUAAUUAGUAAAUAUUUUUAAUUUAUUUGAUAAACUUAGAGGUGUUAUAAUAUCAUGUAGCUCAUCGAGGUCAAAAAAGGAAAAACAAAUGUGCACAUGUGAUAUUCAUAUAUACAGCUGCGACGAAGCACGUGAGGACUCUCUCGGCCUUGUGGGGUCCACGGGACCAUUGUUCAUACAAUUUUAAACAAAAGAUUUGGUGUGGUUAACGGACAUUGAUGUUACAUACAUGCCUGAUUUGCAAGACGCUGAGGGGCCAAAUGGAAAGAGUGGGCCAGUGUGGGGAUCGUUGCCAUUGGCUCUUGAUGAAGCCAUGCUUACUUCAUCUUAACGUCUUUCAGGCCAAAUUGGCGUAUGAUGUCAAGGUCAAGAAUCAAGAUCCACCGUGCAAAUGGACGGGGAGUGAAAAGGUUCUUCCGCUAAUUAUUUGAUCAAUUAUUUUGAAAAAUAAAAUAAAAUAAUUAAUUAAUUACAAUUUUCCCCCUUUUUCAAAAUAAUAAGUGAUAUAGAAACAAACCAUUUUUUUUUUUUUGUAAUUUCGAACCUCUUGUACAAAUUGUUUAAUAUAAAAUGAUGUAUGAAUACACUAUUGAUUGUAGUGAUGCUUGUUUGCCCAAGCUAACUAAAUUUCAAAUGUUAAAUUGUUGUUUUGAAAUUUAGCUUACCCCAAUUUUAAUUUACUGAAUAGUCUCAAUAAUUUACUGAUUAUAAAAUAUUAAUAGUAUUGUAAUCGUAAUUAAAAAAAGGGUGUAGUUAAGUUACACAACAUUGUAACUUACAAUAAAAGAGUUACACAAAUUAAAUAAAGUGUGGUUUAAAAUUACUAAAUAUUUUUAGAUUAUUAUAUAUAAAUGUGAAGUUGUUAUAAGCUACAACAUUAGGUGACUUGAUAAGGUUAAAAACUAAAAAAAAAAAAAUUAUACACAUAUCGUGAUAUUCGUAUGUACAAAUAGGACGAAGCAUGAGAGGAAUACUCUCGGCCUUUUGAGGUCUAGGGGAGUAUUAUUCUUAUAAAUUAAAACAAGAGAUUUAAAGUGCCAUGAUGUGUGGUGUUGAAUGAAUAAUGCUACUACAUAUCCUAAAUUUUUAAUUAAUUAAUAAAGAUAAUACAAUUAAUUCACUUAAUUCACUUAAAUUUUAUAAAAAAUUAUUAAUUAAUUAAUUAAUUAAUUAAUUAACCACAUAUUAUUUAGAAUGGAAUUUAGAUUAAAAAAAUUUAAAAUUUCAAUCAGUACUCGGUAUCGAACUGUUGAUAACGUUAACGGACAUUGAUGGUACAUACAUGCCUGAUUUCCAAACGCUGAGGGCCCAACAUAAACAGUGGGCCAGUGGGGAGAUCCCUGUCACUGGCUCUUGAUGAAGCCAUGCUUACUUCAUCUUAACGUAUUUUAGGUCAAAUUAGUUAAUAAUGUCAAGGUCAAGAAUGAAGAUCAGCAAUGAAAUGGAUGGCAAGUAAAAAGGUUCAUUCGGUGAUUAUUUGACCAAUUAUUUUGAUCAAUAAAAUAAAAUAAACAGAUAAUUACAAUUUUUUACUCCUUUUUAAAGUAAUAAGUGAUAGAGAUAUAAAAAUAUACAUGUGCCAAAUAUUCCUUCAAAGUUCAAAUAUGCUUUGAUCAUAAGCAAUUAUUAUCAACUAUUUGUUUAUAUAUAGGUUCACUUCAGUGAAUAAAUUGAAUUGUUAAAUCUUAUAUUUAAUCUAACCACUAGUGUAUUGACACAUUAGUUUGUAUAACAAUUUAUAUCUCCAUUAUCAUACGAGAUUCUAUUGUAUCACGAGGUCCAAUCAAAAUUUGUCUUCCUAGCCAAAGGCAUAUGAACACUUUUUCCCUUUUUAAGGAGGGAAGCUAGUAGACUUACAAGCUAACCUAUACGUUUCCGCCAGCAGUCUUCCGAAUAACAAUUCAGCUGAGCGCACACUCAAAGUUUGAAUAUUGAAUAAUUGUUUUUGUAUAAAGUAAAAGCAAUCGACAUAUCAUAAAUAAUACAGUACACACGGUCUUAAUUAGCGUAUCUCUUUCAUUAUUCUUACUAAACCAGUGCCGGCAACGACCAGCAAUAACCCCACAAUAAAGGCCGGGGACAGCCAAUUAAAUUCGGCCACCUCACGUUUGGUGCAUGCAUGACAUGAGGAUCCCACACAUGGACCAUGCAAUCGCGACGUAACAGUAAAAGGGCAAAAUGUAACCCAGUUGUUAAAAGCAAUCAUUAAGCCACUAAUUGAUUCACGGCGAGGCUUGAACUUGACUUGACCUGGCGAACUUUAUUCUUUAGUGAACUGGGAAUUAAUGAAUGUCCGGUUGCGAGCAUCCCACUGGCCACAGGAACAGUGCAUGAGCUGUAGCAAGCACUUGCAGUCAGCACUGUUUUGGUUUGGUAGCGUAGAAACGAAACAAACAUCAUGUUUUUGAAUGGGAUUUGCCAAGCAAACGGGAUGGCGUGCCAACACGCUUGCCCCACUCCCCCCACCUGCCCCACGCUCCGAUCAAAUCAAUAUUGUAUCUUGAAUUAAAAAAGGGUCCCCCACCCAACGAAGAUUUUGCCCUGCUCUGGUCGCUCUCAAAAUAAAGUAUACAUAAAAUAAUGUUAGAAAUAUUAUCAAAUUAGGAUAAGGUUUGACAAUACAACCGAAAAGGAACGAGCUAAUUAAGCGUCUCCCGAUGACUUGGCUUCAAGAUUGAUGACAUGGACCAAUUACCAUCAAGUGCACAGCUCAUCUCCAGCUGGCUAGCACAACGACUGCAACAAAUUUUCCCUCCUUUUGUCAACCGUUUGCUAAGAGUCUUCUUUCAAUUCUAGAUGCUUCUUAUCAUAGCUGUGUAUAAACAAAGGAUUGUUCGUUAAACAUUUUUAAGUUUGAAAUUUGAUUU